rnacentral:rRNA from 1 species
UACGAAGGGGGCUAGCGUUGUUCGGAAUCACUGGGCGUAAAGGGCGCGUAGGCGGCUUUGUAAGUCGGGGGUGAAAGCCUGUGGCUCAACCACAGAAUCGCCUUCGAUACUGCAUGGCUUGAGACCGGAAGAGGUAAGUGGAACUGCGAGUGUAGAGGUGAAAUUCGUAGAUAUUAGGAAGAACACCAGUGGCGAAGGCGGCUCACUGGCCCGGUACUGACGCUGAGGUGCGAAAGCGUGGGGAGCAAACAGG